rnacentral:rRNA from 1 species
GGAUGAACGCUAGCGAUAGGCUUAACACAUGCAAGUCGAGGGGCAGCACAAGGUAGCUUGCUAUCUGGGUGGCGACCGGCGCACGGGUGCGUAACGCGUAUGCAACUUGCCCUAUACAGGAGGAUAACCCGUCGAAAGACGGACUAAUACUGCGUAUGCUCACAACUUGGCAUCAAGUGGUGAGGAAAGAAAUUCGGUAUAGGAUAGGCAUGCGUCCCAUUAGCUUGUUGGUGAGGUAACGGCUCACCAAGGCAACGAUGGGUAGGGGAACUGAGAGGUUUAUCCCCCACACUGGUACUGAGACACGGACCAGACUCCUACGGGAGGCAGCAGUGAGGAAUAUUGGUCAAUGGGCGCGAGCCUGAACCAGCCAAGUCGCGUGAAGGAUGACUGUCUUAUGGAUUGUAAACUUCUUUUAUACGGGAAUAACAAGAGUCACGUGUGACUCCCUGCAUGUACCGUAUGAAUAAGCAUCGGCUAGCUCCGUG